GAAGAGUUUAAUAUUUAAACUCUUCAAGUUUACAAGUUAAUAAUUUAUUGCAGACAAAAGAAGUUGGGUACAUUUUUUAAAUUAAAGAGCAAACACCUGUAUUAUAUACAACAAAACUGUUGCAUUAACUCAAGAUAUGAUGACCCCAUGUCACAUUUUUAGUUGAAUAUUAUGCUGUUGGAAGGAUUUUAUAAGCCAUGCAACAAGCGUAAAUGGAAUGAAGAAAGUUUUCAACUCCCGGAGGACACAGAGCAUGAACAGUCUGCAAGAAAAGGACAGCUCCAAAGAAGAAAGUCAACCAGAAAUAAAAAGUACAGGACAAAGAGCUCGUGAAUGUCUGAGGAUUCACAGCAAAGGCAGCAAAGCCUCGUUAGAGGAAUUGGAAUCGAAUAGAGAUUGAAUGAACCUGAAAAGGGGUCGGAGCGCCCUCUCUAACACAGAAAAGACAACAACAAUGGGUAAAGAUACACAGGUCAUAAAAGCAGCUUUGAAAUGCUGGCAUCACCAACAGGGUUAUUCCCUUAAUAAUAGUAGAUACGGAACUACUAUAAACUCCCUGAUGAGAAGGGAUUAAUGAUGUCAAACGAAACUGAAACCUCUAUAAUAUACUUCUAAUGUAUUCUUCUAUUUAAGUGAUGUUCUUACCAGUUUCAUUAUUGCAGUCAAUUUGAUUAUUGUCAAAUUAUCCAUUUUCAUUAAAGUUGCCAUCUAAAUCUCUAA